rnacentral:tRNA from 4 species
GGCGAGAUAGCUCAGUUGGUUAGAGCGCAGGAUUCAUAACCCUGAGGUCGGCAGUUCAAAUCUGCUUCUCGCCA